AUAUCUCUCUGUACGGGAAGGAUGAGAAGCUUCGACUAAGGUUCGAUUCGAGCGCAGCGAGAAAGCGUUGCCGCAGGCAACGACCCGAA
rnacentral:sRNA from 6 species